UACGGGGGGGGUAAGCGUUGUUCGGAAUUACUGGGCGUAAAGGGCUCGUAGGCGGCCAACUAAGUCAGACGUGAAAUCCCUCAGCUUAACUGGGGAACUGCGUCUGAUACUGGAUGGCUUGGAUUCGGGAGAGGAAUGCGGAAUUCCAGGUGUAGCGGUGAAAUGCGUAGAUAUCUGGAGGAACACCGGUGGCGAAGGCGGGUCUCUGGACAGUUCCUGACGCUGAGGCACGAAGGCCAGGGGAGCAAACGGG
rnacentral:rRNA from 1 species